GGAAUUCACGUUGUAGAUUCGCUAUAGCCCUAACCAUGUAUCUAUUAUGAUACGAAGCGAAAUCAUUGAAGUUCCUCAAGCAUCCUAAUUGAUCGUAACCACUCGUAUUGUUAUCAGGGAAGGAUGUGAGGUAUAAUGGGAGGCAUCCGAGAGGGUAAAUGCUCGGAACCAACACUCGUGUUGCUCCGAGCUGAAUCACCUCUUUGAUGCCUCUCAUUAUCCCUGCAACAACAAAUGGAACGUAAGUUCUAACUUCUGUGAUUUGCUUUCUCUGGAAGAAACAAUUGUAGUAAUCGUUUCCUCCCCAUUCCCCCAUUAUUACUAUCGACUUUUUCAAAUUCUCUGCACAUCUAGAACCACAAGUCGAUUGGAGAUGCGUUUUGAACCAAUUUAAUUGAUUUGAAAGCGGAGUGUUCCAUGUGGGUAACCGGAUGUUACGAGCAGUCCAGAAGGAUGUAUCAAGGGCGGUAGCUCCGGCGACGGCGAAAUUUACUCCUUGACUGAAAGAUGCGCCUCUGUCUAAAUAAGCAUUGAGGAAUGAGAGUUUGAAUGAUUGAGAAAUGAAAUCGGUGAUAACGGCGGCCGUUGGAGAAGCGGCCGGUGGGUCUUCUGAAGAAAGUUUCACCGUAAGGGGAACGGUCGGCGCGGAAGAUGAUGGAAGCGCCGGGAGUACGGAUGACAUUUCCGGCGUCGGCGAGGGAGUCGCCGAGUUGGUAGACGGAGUUAACGUUGCAUUUAGUUUGGGCAGAUGAAGGAGAAAAGAAGAAUGAUGUGAUGAGUAAAAGGGAUAAGGAAAAUUGGGUAAGAGAAAGAGUCGCCAUUGAAGAAUGUUUUUUGCUGCAAAAUGGAAUCCAUUCACGUGCUACUUAUAGAAUGGUAGACCCCGAUCUGUUUGGCCGUGUGAUAUGAAAUUAUGAUAUAAAAUUAUAUCUAAAUAUCAAAUUUUUGUUUGAAUAUGCGAUAUUGAUUUGUAAGUUGUAUUUUUAUAUUUAUAAAUAUAAAAUUUUCAUAAAUUGUAAAAAUUAUCAUAAUUGUCUUAAUUUUCUUUAUGUAGUCUUAUCGAAUAAGCAAAAAUUCAUACAAUAUAAUACACUAUAGUAAAAUUACAUUUUUAAUAAAUAUAUGAUAUUUAUUGAUUGAAUUUUAGCUCAAUAAAAAAGUUAAUUUGAAAAUGAGUUGUAGUAUGCUACUCUUUAAUAAAACUGAACAUGGUCAAUAAUUUAGGGAUAUGUGUUGGUCGUUUCGGUUUGAAUUUUAUUAGUUUUACUUAUUUAUUAUCGAUUUGUAGACAUGUUAAAUCAUUAAAAUAUUGACUUAUCGACUAUUGAUUUAUUGGUUAUUAAUUGUUAUCGGGUUAACCGUUAAGAUUUGACACAAAAAAACAAUGAAAAACACUUAGAAACAAGGUGAUAAAACAAAUGAACCACACAAAUAAGUUCACAUAUUGCAUCUUUUCUCAAAAGCAAAGACCUUUAUAUUGUAGAAUAACCAAAAGUUUAAAAUUACCAAAAAUAAAGUAUAAAACUAACUCUAAGUCAAGGAUUUUAUAUAUAUAUAUAUAUAUAUAUAUAUAUAUAUUUCAUCGUAUUCAUAUUAUGUGGAUUUUUCAUCGCUCCUUUGAUAUUUAUUGAAUCAAAGGCAAAUAUGUAAAAAUAAAAUUCAACAACUUUUUAAAUUUUUUAAAUAAGUCAAUUAUUUUGAACUAUAAAAACAAUGUCAAUAAUUUCGUAGUGUGUCAGCUGUUGAGUGGCUGGUUGUCACUUUAAUUUGUUUUUUUCUUCAUUUAUGGUUUUAGUUUUAUUUAAUGACAAAAAUGAUUAAACCUUUUGACUUUUUGACUGGUAAUUCAUUCAUCAAGUGGCUUCAAAAACAGAAUCUAGUAGUAUUAUUUUUACGUGAAGGAGUACAUGUGGGUCAAAUCACACUUUAUUUUCUGUCUCAAAUUUGACAUAUCGGGAUUUUUAGUCUAUUUUAAAAAGAAUGAUUUAUUUAUUUUUUUGGUGAUAUUUUAAUUUUAGUUUUCCACGUAAUAUGUUUAAAAUUAUAAGAUUAAAAAUAUAUUUUUAGUAUAUUUAGCAUAACUUUAGCUUAGGACUAUAAAAUUGAAAAAUCUUUUUUAAUUUUUUAAACUUUAUGUUAAGUCAAAUUAGACCAUUUUUUUUAAAAGGAGAAAAUAGUAUUGUUUUAUAAAAGAAUUAACUGAAUUUGUACGCUGUUGUUUUAGAAACUACUCCUACAUGAAAAACUACUAAACAUACUUAUUAAAAAUAAAAUUAGAAGUUAUAUUUUCUUUGAUUUUAAAAGAACGAUCUAUUUUUUUUUUAUAAGAAUCAAAGGGUCGACUGAAAGAAACAAGAAAAUAUAUGUGAAAUUAUCAAAAUCUAAUUAAAUUUAUUCGCAACAAAGGACUUUAUAGCUUUACCUUUCAAUUGAAUCCAAUCAAAUAAUAAUAAUUUGAACUCAAUAAAAAAUGAAAAAACCAAAUUGAAUCUACCAAGAGGAUAGCUCGAUGGUUGAUUAAGCUAGAAGAAAUUAACACAAACAGUACUGGGAAUCCACCCUAACCAUACAACUACAAUUACCAACUAUGAACUACACUAAUGCUAGGCUUGAUCUAGAAACUACAAGGUUCAAAGCUUUCUAAUAUUCAAUUCAUCAUAAUCUUCGUAAUCUAAGUUUUCCAAAAUAAUAAAAAUUAUUAUUUAUAUUAAGAAAAUUAAGAAGGUACUUUUUUGACAAUUUUACCCUUAAUGAGAUAAGGACCUUAUUUGGUUAUCUUCUUUUUGUGAAUUCUUGAAUUUAUGAGAGCGUCAUUUGCAUACAUGGUCACUUUCUUCACUUUGAUGGAUCUUCAACACAUUAUAUGUCUUUAUUUGGUAUCCAGCAAAUUCCUCUAAAAUUUUCAUAUGAUUUAUGCUAUUCAACACUUUAAAAGACAUUUUGAUACAUGUGACACAGCUUUAAUUUAAAAUCAUAAAAUUAAAAAAAAAAAUCUUUACUUUUUUAGAAUUUGUAUCAAAUUAAACUAAAUCAUUUUCUUCUAAGUAAAAGUAAAUAAUUUUAUGUGACCAAGAAAAAACCACUUGCACUUGUCCCUAGGAGACUUUUGUUUCCUAACGGGUGUCAUUUUGUCCCAUCUGGGCAAAUUGCUAAAAUGAAGCCCAACACAACCUUCAUCAACUCUAUUAUUAAAACGUGUAAAAUAGAAAGUGAACAACUAAAAAAGAAAUAAAUUACGUAUAUUUUAAGGAGAAUACAUCUUAAAUGUUUACUUUUUCUGUCUCUAAUUACUUGUUCAUUUUCAUUUUUAAUUGUUCCUAAUUAUUUGUCCAUCUUGACAAAUCAAGAAAAAACAAUUUUUUUCACCUAUUAUAUCCUCAAUUAAAUGACUAAUUACUUUGAAAAAUGUAAAUUUUGUCAUCCACUUCAUAAUUAUUAAGGGUAAAAUGGUAAACUCAUUAUGUCACUAAUUAUUUUCUUAAUAUAGGUGUGUCAAUUCAAAAAUAGACAACUAAUUAAGGACAAAUGGAGUAUUAAAUUUGUAAAAAUAUCUCAUUAGAGUUAUUUUGAUUUUCUUUAGAUAAUAUAAUUAUCAAACUAUGCACAUAUUUUCAAUAAGGUGAUGAAAAGUAACGAAAAAAUUAAAUUUUAUCGGAGGCUUAUACAUGUAUAUUUUUAGAAUCCAUUUUUAGAUCCAAUAUUUCAAAUAGAUUUUUAAUAAAAUAAAUUUUAUUCAUAUAAUUAGAGCAAAAUGAAGAUGCAAUUUUUCGUUAAAAAGCUUAUAAAUGUAUCACUUAUUUUUAACAGAGCCUUAAAUAGUUAUCUUUUUAAUUUGCCUUUUUGUUUAAAAUUCAAUCUAAUAAUAGGCAAUAAUGCAUUUCCGAUGUUUUUCUUAAAGCUGAUCUUUAUUUUCAUUUAAGAGGAAUUUCUUAAAUAGCAAAUCUUUCUAAUUGCAAACUUGAGAUUAAUGUUUAUGCAACAUAAUAGGAGAAGAUGAUAGUGAUUUUUCAUGAAAAAGAAUUGUAUUUGAAGUGAGUCAAAUUAAUUUUAUAUAAUGGGUUAAUAUUGGAUAAAAAUGGUUCUAAAAAAGAAAAAUGUAUAAAUUUCGGUUAAAUUUUUUGUUUUUAUCAUCACUUUACACCUUAUUGGAAAUAAUGUGCAUAAUAUGAUAAUUAUAUUAUUCAAAAAUUAUUUUAGAAAUAUAUAUUUACAAGUUGGAUAACCAUUCCAGGAAUCCACUUUAUUUUUUACUUAAAAAAAUGCAGGUGUCGGUGAACAUAUUUCCUUUUUCGAAAGUAAAACCGUUUGAGUUUGAUCGAUAAUUUGCAUAUGAAAUCUUCACUUUUUUUAAAAUAAUAUAUAUAUAUUUGUAAAUUACGUAAAGAGGACUAUGACUCACAAUAAUUGACAAUCCAAUAUAUUUAAAAGAUAUAUAAAAAAUUUAUAAUCAAAAAUAAAUUUAUUUGAACCUCAAAAUAAAAAAUAUGUCAUAUAAAUUAGAACGGAAGAAGUAUAUUAUUAUUUUUUUAGUAAAAAGGAACUGUUUGCCAACAAAGAUUGUGCUUUAAUAAUUGAAUAUGAUAAAAUGCACACAUUUAAGCAUAAGCACGUUGCUUGAGAAAGAGAGCCUUUCUUACCUACUACCUUUUGGUUGGAGUAAAGAUAGGUAGGUGGAAAAGUUUUGAAUUUGAAUUCAAUAUUUGCAAAAUAAUGCUUAUUUGCAUCCGUCUUAUAUUAGUUGAUUACUUUUAUUUUUAUAUAUGUAUUAAAAAAUUAUAAAUAAGAAGGUAAUUUUCCUAACUAUUUCAUUCCUUAAAAUUUUAUUUUGGGAUUUCACAAAUAAAUGUGAACACUUUUAAAACGAAUUAAUGGAAAGAGUAAUAUAGGAAGAAUUUAAUUAAUAUUUUUUUGACUUAAUAAGGUAAACAACUAAUAUAGGACAAUUAUUUUUAGAAAAGUGAUCAACUAAUAUUUUAGUUGUCAUAGUUUUCUUUAUUAUAAUCAAACAAUAACAACUUUGACCAACAUUUUAUGAUGUAUUUUUCAUCAUAUAGAUAUGCAGAAAAUUGUAAUUUAUAGUAUUUUUCGUAUUUUGAAUAUCUAAAUUUUUUAAUUCAAAAUAUUGAAUUAAUGUAAUCUAAUUUAACUUUGAAAAUUAGUCAAAUUGACUUUCGAAAUGCGCAACAUGACAACUAAAAAAGAACGGAGGGAGUAGUAUAUUUUUAUUGGAUCAUAAAAUGAUUUCUUUUGGAAAAAUAUAGGGUCUGGAAAGCAUCUUUAUAUACGAUACUACUACCUUUGUUUCAUAUUAGAUGAGUAUCUUACUAAUAGUAUUUGUCUCAUAUUACUUGAUCACUUAUUAAAUUAGGAUUGAAUUAAUUAAAUAUUUUUCAUUUUACCUGUCACACCCCAAGCCUACACCUUGAAGGUGGCCGACACUCAGAACCAUUGGUAGUCCCAAGUGAACCCUUGGUCUGACUGACUACUGAGCGAAACACUAUACAUACAUAAAGAAGUCUUAUAAAAUAGACAUUUAAAAUCAAUUAAAGAUAUCUAAUACAAAAGUCAGAAAUAAAUCUGAAUAUAAAUAAUGUUAAUAAGAAUAAUGUUAAAAUUUCUCAAUGCUCAAGACUGAAUUGGCUCGCUAACUUUGUCUAUAUAUGAAGCCUUUACUAAUAGGUGUCAGGACAAGACCUACGACUAUCUGACUAUUUAACUAAAUGACUAAAAAUCAAAUAAACUGAACUAACUAAAUUGGAUCCCUCCGAAAGUCAGGAGGUCUCAUCAGCGACAAAUGAAAAGAGAUCUUGUUGAACGCCUGCUAUCAAGAGUAAUUGAACUGCAUUAUAAAACGAUGCAAUAUCAAAUAACAUUAGUACAUGAAACGUACUGUAUGUAAUAAGAUUGAAUUGAAAUACAUAAUUGAAUAGAAUACAUGAACUGAAAGUAAAGCAUGAACAUGAAAUGACAUCAUUAAAGUUUUACAGUAAGAUAUGCAAUAAUAGGAAAUACUAUAAUAAUAAUAAUAUACUUUACUUUUCUUGGGGAGUUCUCUAACCAACAACCAUCACUAUGAGGCUCGUGAUGAUACAACGUCUCGUCCACGUUGCCAGAGUAUGAAAUGUAACUCACUUAUGGAUCCACUAAAAAGCCUUCUUGAGGCAGGUGAGGAGUCGCCCGAAUUUCGGUACGAUCCUAUCUACGUUGAAAGUGCAGGUUAUGAGAUUCGAGCUAUCAUAACUCUUACCCAAAUCGGUGAUCAAUCCUACUCCCAAAAUAUAUGUAUUAAUGGGCUUAUAAUGAUAAUAUCCAUUGAGUUGAAUUAAUAUUCAAAAGGCCCUCUUUAAAUGAUAAAUUGAUCUUUACUUUAAUUUACUGGCUAAAAUGCUUGUGUAAACUGUUUAUACUCUUCUUAGAAUAGUAGUUCUCUUCUCAAUGCAAAAUAAUACAUUUGGAACCGUUAGCGUUCCUUCAAAACUUUUUUCAAAUGAUGCUUAAAAUAUACUUGGACUCACUUUAAAUUCUAAAAUCAAUGCUUGAAAAUAAUUGUACAAAAACUUUCAACAAAAUCUCAAUUACUAGGGUUCAUGAGGUAAAUAUAAGCAUGAACAACAACUCAAGAAUUAAAAUGCAUAGAGUGUCAAAUCUCAUCUCAAUAGUUCGGAAAUGGGAACUCCAAAAAUUCAUGGAACUUAGGGUAGAAACCUAGAUUUAUCUCUUCACUAAUUGAAUUUAGAUGUAGGGCGUGAUGAAGAACUUAGUCCAACACUAUGAAUAGUUUUACAUACCUGAUUAUGAAGCUAUUGGAUAGAAGAAUUUGGUGGAGACUUCAUUUUUCUUGAUCCUGAGGAAGAACACUAGCUUUCUUGGAGGAAAACUUUGAUCUUGAAAUCUUGGUGCUUGAUCUUGAGGAAGAAAAUAUAUUUUAUAGAGUUCUUAGAGUGGAAUAACUUGAGAAAACCUUGGAUUGAAGACUUCUCUUUGUGUUUUGAAUUUUUGACAUAGAAGUUUUAGGGUUCUUGAUGGAAAAGAGGAACCAUGAAUGAAUUCUGAGAAAAUUUUUGGAAACUUGAAUGUUUUGAUUGAUGAUUAUGAGAGGAUAACUAGUUACUUGAAUGAUAUACUCCUUUAAAACACCCAAAAUGACUUAUAGGGACAAAAAGCUUGGGAAAGGACCAAGGUAACACGAACACAUGCAUUAAGUUUCUAGAAAAAAAUCGCAGCACGCCUUCAUAGAAGGCUCCACGAUCCGUGGAACAUUCCAUCAUCCAUAGUAUCAGCCGUGAAAUAGCGACUGUAUGACAGGGCUUCACUGAAAUGAGUAUAACGUUUUACUCCAAACUCUAAGUAAUGUAAACUUGGUGGCAUUAGAAAGAAGAUUCAUAUACCUUUAAUUUGAUGGGUUAUUGGCCACGCGACUCUUCAUAUUCUAAGAGAUGUGAUUAUUUGAAGUUGAUCCAAGUAAAAUAUUAUAUUGACACUCAAUUGAUAAGGAAACUUUCAACUCAACUUUGUGUUUGAGGAUUCUUAUAACCUUAGUCAAUCUCUAAAUCUAUUCUCACACUAAGGAAUUGACCUUAACACCUAAGCACAAUUUAAGAAUCAUCCGGUAGAACCUUAUACGCAUAUGAAGAAUGGUUUGAGUCUUAGUUUAGAAAUUUUAAGGGUGUUACGAUACCUCUGUAAUUAAUAUGUCUUUGGAAGUUUAAUUUUUUUUUUUGAAGAUCCAUUUUUUUUUGAAGAGGCCAUUUAAUAUGAACAAAGGGAAAAAUAGUAAAAUUGAUCAAUCUGUAAAUGAUUUCUUAUUAACCAUGUAAAAUAAGAAGUGCCCAUAUAAUAUGAAAUAAAGGGAGUAUAUACGAAUUAAUAAGGUGAAACAUGUUUGUCUGUCUGUAAAGAGGAUAAAUUAGUCAAUUAAUAUGUCUAUUUAUGCAUUAAUUAUUUGUACAUUUUGGUUAGAAGAUUAUAUAUUUUUUGUUCUUUACUUGGAUGAACAAAAAUGUGCCUUAUUUAAUGUUCUUUGUUUUAUGUUUAUGAAGCCUGACCUUUAAAUACCUUUAUUUCGCUCCUACUUUAUUUUUGCAUUAUUUUACUGUAAUAAUCAGAUUCGGUCGUUAUGAGUAAGCUAAUAGUGAAUGAAUUUGGACCAGAAAACUUUUUGGGUAGUGACUUAAAUUUUUUUCCAGCUAGGUCAGCCUCACAAAAAAUCUGGACUAUGUGAGGUCUGGGGUCAUCCGGGAAUGGGUGGGGUGUGAUUUGGGGGUUUGGUUGAUAUAUUCUUGUAUCCAAGACAUUAAGGAAUCCAUAAUGCCUUUCAAAAUUGAAUUCAGGUUAGUAGAACUCUCGAAAUUAAACUUGACGUGAAAGGUAUAUGUCGGAACAUCAAGAAAAGAUUUGUGUUGUAAAAAUUAACUUUUUCUAGAGUUUAAGUUUCUAAGCUUUAAUCGAUCCCGCUAUAGCGAGCCGAAUUGGGUUUUAGUGUAGAAACAACCCCGAAAUCUCUGUUUUCUGCAUUUUGAGUUCUUGGACUUGGAAGAGGCGAUUUUGGACAGGUAGCACCUAUUUCUCCACAGAAUUCAUUGAUAAAGGUAAGAAUUCAACUCCCCAACCUUAUGCAUUGAUUAUUAAUCCUGAGAAUCUAGGUUAUUGCUAUUGGUGUCAUGCUCUGAGCCUACAUUCUGAGCGGGACUGACACUCGAGAACCAUUUCUGGUCCCAAGCGAACCCUUGGCCUGGCUAGACUCUCAGCGGAAGACUUUAAGAAUUAAUAAAAGAAAACAAAUGCAACUUUACUCUACUUUCUCAAAAUAACUUAGAAUGUUUUAGAAUUAAACAUCCAACUAGCCAAAGUGGCAACUCAAGUUUUAUAACAAAACAAUUUAAAUGCAAAGACUAAAUGACUAUAGCUAUCUAUCUAUGAAGCCUCUAAUACUAUGAGGGAUGUCGGGACAAAACCCUCGAUCAUCCUAAAAACUAAAAUAAUAAAGUAAAAAUGAAAAUGGAUCACCCGGAAAGCAAGGAGGCUCACCAAAUGACUCUGAAAUGCUCAACUGGAUCAACGAAGCGCUUGAUGUUGAUCCUGAUAACCUAUAUCUACAUCACAAAAGAUGCAGGCCAAAUGGCGUCAGUACAUGGAAUGUACGAGCAUGCGAGGGAAAAACUAAACAUGACAUAAGCUAGAACUGAAAUCUGAAAGAAACACUUACCUCAACAUUACUCAACUCAAGGCAAAAAUAAACAACAAUAAAGAUACAGUUUAUAUAAAGCAUUUAAAACAGUAGAUAACAUCUCAAAGUAUUGAAAAAUACAAUAAUAUCCCAGUUGUAUGGAAGAAUACAAAAUAAACUCUGUUUGGGAGAUUCUUUAAAUGAUAACCAUCACUAUGUCACUUAAUAGGAAGGCUCCAACUUAAAGAGAACUAUCUAAUUCUUGUUUAUAAGGAUAAGUAGGAAUCAUAAUUCCCUUUUUACUGGAUGUGUUUUAAGCUUACCGCAAAUAAUUUAUCACCAUGCUAUAAUGGAUUUUUUUUUGAAUUCCAGCUUAUAGAAAAUAGUUUGUCUGUGUUUUGAAGUAAACCAAUCAAAGCACUGUUCCAACUAACCGAUGGAAAAGUUCUAGGCAGAGGGACAAAAUGAGGUUUAUAUGUAUUUGUAUUCUAGAAAACUAUUGAUAUCUUGAACUGUUCUAAAGACUUCUAAGGUUGCAAAGUAUGUCAUAUUUGUGAGUUCAUGUCUAGAUAUCAAGAGAAGUUUGAAUGCUUUGUUUGUUUGAUACUGCUAUGUGAUGUGAUGUCAUUGUACGUUUAUUUGAACCUCCCUUUCCUUGUUUGUUUCUUUCAUCCUGCUCUUCUUGUUCCCUUUUAUUUUUACCUCAUAAUUUACACUUAAGUUGUUCAUAUAUGCUGUGUAAUUCAUUGAAAUAAUCCUUACAGAAAACUGAAGUCUUCCUUUGUCUUUGCAGCGACAUGUUUCUGAUUUCUAUAUCUCUGAUUUCCAGUCUGGAUUAAGGGCUUUGGUCAAAACUGGGUAUGGUGCAAGAGUAACCCUUUAUGUCGAAGAGUCUAUCCAGUGAUGACUGAAUAAUGCGAUUGAAAGAAGGGUAUGGCUUAACUCAACUUCAAUGAAUCUUGAAUAUUUCUUCUGCUUGAGUUCUUUGAUUAAAUAACAGACAACAUGCUCAAUCAUAUCUAGAUGCCUGCUUUGAUUAAUAUUGUAUAUAUUAUUACUUUUUUAUCCCUGCCAUGCAUGUUGUCCUCAGUUUGGUUUUUCCUCUCCCAAAUCUUUGUUCAGGUAUAUAAAAGAGGGUAGCACUGUGAGUGUAAUGGGAGUUGUCCGACGGAACGAUAACGUUCUGAUGAUUGUUCCUCCUCCAGAGCCACUUUCAACAGGAUGUCAGUGGUCUAAAUGUAUUCUUCCAGCCAGUCUGGAGGGUAUCGUUUUGAGAUGUGAGGACAGUUCAAAGAUUGAUGUCAUUCCUGUGUAGCACUUUUAUGAUUAUAGAAGGCUAUGCUGUUUUUGUUUUAAAUAUGUUGGAAAACCCUCUUCUGUCAGUGGCAACAAGAAUUAUAUUGAUCAACAUAUGUGUUAAGUGAACAAUAAGAAAAGAUAAAAAUAAUUUUCUCUAUACAUGUGUUAUAUAAAAAUAUGCUUUGCUAAAUUUUCUAAAAGUGAUGUUGAUGUAAUAUUGUUAAACCAAAAGGUUCUCUUUCUGUUUGCCCAUUCCUGAACAAACUUGUAUGUAAGCCUCAAUAAACUUUCGGUGACCCUCUAUACUACAACCGGUAGCAAAUGAGUAGAUUGGAUUGAAUUUGGACGGAUUGAAAAUUGAUUGAGUUGCAAUUUAUUCAUAUGAAAAUUUGUAAAAAAAAAUAAAGGAAAAAGAUCAAAUACAUGUACUAUUUGAAAUAGUUGAAAUAUACCUCUCGUUAUAUUUUUGGUCCAAAUGUUCCCCCUCUUGGAAUGAAAUUUGAUAAAACCCCUUGGAUUCAUCUAGCAACCAGUAGAAGAUAAGCUAAAAUUGUAUAUUCAAUAAUUAAAAGUAGGGGUAAGCGUGGCAACGGGACCGGAAUCGGGACUACCGGAACCGGCCGCCACGGGCCGGAACCGGGACGGACUGGAACCGGUAAUUCUAGGAAAAAAUAUCAAGACACGUCCUGGACCGAGACCGGAAACCGGGUCCCAACGGCUAUAUUUAAUUUUUUUUUUUAUUAAAAUUAAAAAAUUAGGAACAUUACUCAAAAAAUAUUAAAUUUUUUUAUAAUUUUAAGGUUAAAAAUUUAUACUUUUAAAGUUUUAAAUACAAACUUUCAAACUUUAAAAGUAUAAAAGUUUAAAUUUUACACUUUAAAAGUUUGAAAAUUUAAAUUCAAACUUUAAAACUAUAAAACUAUAAAAGUUUAAAUUUCACACUUAAAACUUUGAAAAUUUAAAUUCAAACUUUAAAAUUAUAAAACUAUAAAAGUUUACAUUUCACACUUAUAAGUUUGAAAAGUUAAAUUCAAACUCUAAAACUAUAAAAGUUUAAAUUUCACCCUUUAAAAGUUUUAAAAUUUAAAUUUAAAGUUCAAACUUUAAAACUAUAAAAAAUUUAAAUUUCACACUUAAAAGUUUGAAAAUUUAAAUUUAAAUUAUAAACUUUAAAACUAUAAAACUAUAAAAAUUUAAAUUUCACACUUUAAAUUUUAAAAGUUUGAAAAUUUAAAUUCAAACUUUAAAACUAUAAAAGUUUAAAUUUCACCCUUUAAAAGUUUGAAAAUUUAAAUUUAAAUUAUAAACUUUAAAACUAUAAAACUAUAAAAAUUUAAAUUUCACACUUUAAAUUUUAAAAGUUUGAAAAUUUAAAUUCAAACUUUAAAAUUAUAAAAGUUUAAAUUUCACCCUUUAAAAGUUUGAAAAUUUAAAUUCAAACUUUAAAAUUAUAAAAGUUUAAAUUUCACCCUUUAAAAGUUUGAAAAUUUAAAUUCAAACUUUAAAAUUAUAAAAGUUUAAAUUUCACCCUUUAAAAGUUUGAAAAUUUAAAUUCAAACUUUAAAAUUAUAAAAGUUUAAAUUUCACCCUUUAAAAGUUUGAAAAUUUAAAUUCAAACUUUAAAAUUAUAAAAGUUUAAAUUUCACCCUUUAAAAGUUUGAAAAUUUAAAUUCAAACUUUAAAAUUAUAAAAGUUUAAAUUUCACCCUUUAAAAGUUUGAAAAUUUAAAUUCAAACUUUAAAAUUAUAAAAGUUUAAAUUUCACCCUUUAAAAGUUUGAAAAUUUAAAUUCAAACUUUAAAAUUAUAAAAGUUUAAAUUUCACCCUUUAAAAGUUUGAAAAUUUAAAUUCAAACUUUAAAAUUAUAAAAGUUUAAAUUUCACCCUUUAAAAGUUUGAAAAUUUAAAUUCAAACUUUAAAAUUAUAAAAGUUUAAAUUUCACCCUUUAAAAGUUUGAAAAUUUAAAUUCAAACUUUACAACUAUAAAUGUUUAAAUUUCACACUUUAAAUUUUAAAAGUUUGAAAAUUUAAAUUCAAACUUUAAAACUAUAAUAAAGUUUUUUUCACCCUUUAAAAGUUUGAAAAUUUAAAUUUAAACUUUAAAACUAUUAAAGUUUUUUCACCCUUUAAAAGUUUUGAAAAUUUAAAUAAUUAAAUUCAAACUUUAAAAUUAUAAAACUAUAAAAGUUUACAUUUCACACUUAUAAGUUUGAAAAGUUAAAUUCAAACUCUAAAACUAUAAAAGUUUAAAUUUUUACACUUUAAAAGUUUGAAAAGUUUGUAUUUAAAACUUUAAAAGUAUAAAUUUUUAACCUUAAAAUUAUAAAAAAUUUAAUAUUUUUGAGUAAUGUUCCUAAUUUUUAAUUUAAUAAAAAAAAAUAAAGGCGAAUAGCCUAUACUUUUAUUAAUAUUAAUUAAAUAGUACAAGUUGAAUUACAAAAUAUUAGUAGAGGAUUAAAAAAUCUAAUCUACACAACCAUCUUCUAGGAAGGGUUCUGUUUGAAUUAGACCUCGAAUUAUUAUACUCAUACUAAUAGACAUUUAAAUUUAAUAGUUCAUGCUACCAAGGAAAUCUUUUUUUAAAUCAUUUAACAUUUCUCUACUAACAUGCUCUGGAAUUGGUUGAUUAGGUAGAGUAUUAAAAAAUCUAAUCUACACAGCCACCUUCUAGGAAGGGUUCUGUUUGAAUUAGACCUCGAAUUAUUAUACUCAUACUAAUAGACAUUUAAAUUUAAUAGUUCAUGCUACCAAUAAAUCUUUUUUUUAAAUCAUUUAACAUUUCUCUAGUAACAUGAUCUGGAAUUGGUUGAUUAGCUAGUUCCUCCAUUGCAUCAAUGUCGUCGUCACUAAAAUCUUGCAUUAUUUCAUCAACGUCAUUUUCAAAUUUGGUCGGUAAAGGUGGACGACCAUAACUCCUUCUCUCGCCAUUAAUCCAAUCUCUAAAUAAUACCGAUAUCUCCAAGCUAUCUGCUGCUAAUGAAUAUCUAUGCUCUCCAAUUUGAAAUCUUGUUGCACUAAAAGCGCCUUCCGAAGCUACUGAAGAUGCUUGAAUAGCUAACACAUCUCGAGCAACCGGUUGAAAUUUUGGAAAUCCCUGGCCGCGAUUCCUCCACUAUUCUAGAAGAUCAAUAGUAGUAGCUUCUGUAUUUUGAUAAAUAUAUGCAUCAAAAUCAUUUCUAUCAUUAUGAGAAAGUUCAAUAAUACAAUCUAUCAUAUCAUCAAUAUCAUCUUCAUUAUUAUAUCUACUCCUAGAACUUUGAGGCUCUUCGUUAUGUACUACAUUCCUUAUAUCAGAAUUAUACAAGUCGUACAAAUUUCUAGCUUCAAUUUUUAUACUAUCUUUAACAUCUUGACAACUAGGUGUUUCAUCAUCUUCAAUACCCAAAUUAAAAUAUAUUUUAUCAACCAUUCGUGAUGCACCAUCAUCUUUGUAAUGUGGCUUUAACAAACAAGCAGUUAAAUAAAUUUGAGGAAUAAGAAUAAAAUAUUUUUAAAAUUUUUCAAUCAUUUUCUUAACAGAUGCUUCAAAUCUUGGUUUAUUUUUGAAUUUAUAAAAUUUACUAGAAAUAGCACAAAUAUUAGGUAAAACAGAGCAAAUAGUUGGAUAAUAAAGUGCAGAUAUUUUUUUUGUAGUUAAAUAAAAAACUUUUAAGAAUUCUAUAAGUUCUUUUAUGUUAUUCCAAUCACUAUCAUCAAGUCUAUAUGCCAUAUUUGAAUUAUGAGCAUUCCAAACAAUUUGUAAAGGUUUCCUAUAUUCAUAAGCAACUUCAAGCAUUUCAAAUAAAGAAUUCCAUCUAGUACACACUGAUUUUGGAAUUUUUCUAGGUGGAAGAUUAAAUUCACGACAACGAUUUUCAAAAUCUCUACGUCUAGACUUAACUUGACAUUUAAAAAUAAAAUGACAUGCAGUUUCAACUUUUGUGCAACCAUCAUCAUAUAUUGCUAUACCAUCUCUAACAAUCAAAUUAUAUAUGUGUGCAGCACACCUAAUAUGAAAACCAUCAAUAUAAAUAGGGCAAAGAGACGGUUUUAGUAUUUCAACAACAAUACUAUUAUUAGAAGCAUUAUCUAAUGUGACACUACUUAUUUUAUCACAAAUUCCAUAGUUUUGCAAAACAUCUAUAAUUGUUUAAGCUAUAUAACUACCGGUUUUAUGCAUUUCACAACAUUUAUAACCUAAAAUUCUUUUUUGCAAAGUCCAAUUUUCAUCAAUCCAAUGCGCAGUAAUUGUGAAAUAAUCAUUACCAUUUACACUACGACCCAUAUCAGAAGUAAUAGCUAUUUUACAAUGGUUAUAAUAAAAUAAACAACGAAGAUAUUGAAAAUGUUGAGCUUGAUAAUCAAAAAUAGCCUUUUUAAUUGUAUUUCUAGUAAAACCUUUAAAAUGUGGAUUAUACACAAUUUGAAUAUAAUGAAUAAAACCGGGAUUUUCAGCAAAACUAAAUGGCAAACCCAUAACAACAAUCAUUUUAGCUAAUUCUUCAAGAUCUUUUUCUCUACUAUAUGACCGUUGUAUACUAGAACCAGAAACAUUAGAAGGAUUUAAUUGUGUUUGGACCAUAUUAGACCCCCCUACUCCUACAGUUUCAGGAAGGGUGGUACCAUUCUUUUUAGCUUCAGCUACACCUUUAGCAUGCAAAAAUUCAUUUUUACAACAUGACAUUAAAUGAUUACUCAAAUGUCCCGUCCCACCCUGUUUUCCUACAGUUUUAUGAUUCAUUAUAUGUUUACAUUUAUUACAAAUAGCUUGUGUUUUAUCUUCAUUCUGAGUCAUAAAUUGCCAAACAAUUAAUUUUUUGGCGCGUUCUACCUUAGUCCUAGGAUGCACGGGGGGAUUGGGAGCAGGACAACGAAAGGGAGCAGGAGUCGGGGAAGAGGGAUUGGGAGUGGGACUAGUAGCCGACGGUGGCUCAGUUUCAUCAUCAUCAUAUUCAUCAACAUUAUUAUCAAAACUAUCAAUAUAAUCAUUAACAUCAUCAUGUUCAGGUAAUUCCUCAUCAAAAUUACCAAACCUGCUUUGUAAAUGUUCAUGAUUAGGAUCUAAUCCACUAUUACUAUCAAUAUUAAAAACAGUUUCAUCAACAUACGUAUAAUCAUCCGUAUUUAUUCUUAAUUGAGAAGUUGUUUUAGUUUUAGAUUGAGAAGUACUACGGGUUUUUUUAUUUUUCUUGGAUUUUGAGCUACAUAAAUUAGUGAUCGAAUCAACUAUGGUUGUUUUACCCUUGUCAACAUUAUUUUUAGCGGAAUUCAUAUUCAAAUAUAAAAAAGUGAGUAAAUUAUAUAUAAUACGAAAAUGUAAUGCAAAGUUUUAAACAAAUAAAUAACUAAAUGAAAAGUGAGUUGGAACGAAUGUACCAAACGUCUACUUAAAAAAGUAGACGUGUAUGACCGAAAGCCGAAAAUUGAAAGUUGAAUUUUGAAGCUCCAAUUUCCAAAGACCAAAUUCGUAAUUUAAACGAGAAUAAGAGAUUAGAGAGUAGAGAGAGUAGAAGAUAAUAUUUUUGUGACUUGUGAGUGAAAAGAAUGAAAGAUUGAGGGUAUUUAUAGUUAAAUAAAAGGAUGAAAAUGUAGUUUUUAUAAGGUUGGGGUAUUAAAAAAAGUUUGGGGGGUAGGGAGGUGUAAAAGGGGAGUAUGGGGUGAAAGAGCCGUUUGGUGGGGCCCAAAAGCCGUUGCCCAACGGCUCUCAACGGCUAUAAUUUGAAUUAAUACUUUUAAAAAAAUAAAGAAAAUUUAACGAACCUGACCGGACCGGGACCGAAACCGGAACUAACCGGUAAAUCCCGGUUUCCGUCCCUUUACCCCUCCCGGACCCGCUACGUUCCGGACCAAACCGGGACUAACCGGAACUGAGACGGAACCGGUAACGGACCGGAACCGGAACCGGCACCUCCCGGUUCCGUUGCUAGGCUUAAGUAGGGGUGUACAAAAUCAAACCAAAAACUUAAUCAAACCAGAAAAAAAAAACCCCGACUAUACUUAGGUUGGUUUAGUUUUAACUAAAGAAAGUCAACUCGAGACCAAACCAACCCAACAUUAUAUAUAUAAUUUUUAAAAUUUAUUUUAUACAUAAAAGUAUUUACUUUGAUGUAAUUUCUAAAUAUUACUUGUACAUUUUCAUAAUUUUUAUCUUUUACCAUAUUUUUUCAAGUUUUUUGAGACUUAGAAUUUUGAAUGGUCCAAUAAAAGUUAUAGUCCAUAGAUAUUAGUAACUCUAAUAAAGCUCAAUUUAAAAUCAAAUUAAUACUAAUGCUAACAAAAUAGAUUAAUUCAACUCUAAGAAUGACAAUAAUGUUGAAUAUUUGUUUGUUUUUUGGUAAUCAAGAUGAUUUAAUAUUAAUUAUAUAAUAUGCAUCGAUACAACAGGUUCAGCCACAUUACUUGUAGCAUUACAUACUAAGUUGAGUAUUGGAUUUAUACAUCCAUUAGUAUUACAAAAGAUAUUUGAAUUACUAGCAAAAGGAGUUCCACCCUUGUCUGCUUCUAGGCUAUCAAAAACAAAUAUUGGGGAACUGACCAUUCUUCAAAACGAAACCCGUUCAUCAUCUUCCCCUUCUUUGUUAACAAGUCGGUUGUCCUGUUUUGUAGGAGUAGCUCCCUGCAUUCAGAAACAAUGUUGGAGUAAGCAUUAGAGCUGGAGUUUAAUAUAUUAAUUACCUCCAUUGAGUCUGUAGAUAUCUCCAAAUCUGUGAUAUUGUUUCUCUUGGCUAGAUGCAAACCAUGAAGGAUUGUUGUAAUUUCGGUGCCACUAGAAGAGUUAGUGUUUAUUUUUUAGAUGCAUCCAGCUACCCAAUUUCCUUGCUUAUCUCUAAUUAUGCAGCCUCUGCCCCCUUCUCCGGUAUUGGUAUUAAAAGAGCCAUCUAUAUUAAACUUAAAUUGUCGCACGGGAGGGGGGGGGUUCCAAUAGGCCUCGAGGGGUCUUCUAUCCCUUGGGAGUUUUGUGGUUGAGUACCCUUGGGCUAGAUGGAGAAAUUAUAGGGUUCUGACUUUGGGGACCAAGGGGAUUUCAUUGGACGUAUCUUGGUAGAGGUUAUUGUUUCUGUUUAGCCAUAUAAUCCAGAUGAAGAAGGGGAAGGUUGUAGCCCAUUCAAUAUUCAUGACGCUAGCGUUGAUGUAGGCUUACUCAUAGAGCCAGUUGAGACUAUCCUUAACUAUGAUCAUGGAUACUGAGUCAUAGAUAUUAAGACUUGUCCAGUUCUUAUUGUCUAUGUCACAAUCCAAAAAGAUAUGUUUACCCAUUUCGAUUUCCCCACAAAUAGUGCAUUUCGGGUUUAAAAUAAUUCAUAUGGAUUUAAGGUAUUGUCCGGUAGGGAGUCUAUUAUGGGAGGCUAGCCAAAGGAAGGACUUAAUUUUGUUGGGGCAUCUAAGUUUCCAGAGCCAGUUGUACUUAAUAUUCCUAUCAAAAUCACUUUUAUGACUCUUAAGGACUCUAUAGGUUGAACUUGUGGAGAAGGUUCCAUUAUCACUAUGUUCUCAGAUUAUUCUGUCUUGAGGGGAGAAGUUUUGGGGGAUAUGGACAUCCUUAAUAAGAUUUUAGAUAUCAGUAGGGAGUUCAAAAGAUAAUUCAUUGAAAGACCAUUUGUUAUCCUUGAUUAGGUCGCUGAUAUUGAGGUUUUGGUCUUUAAAACUUAGAGGGCCCGCUAUUAGGGUGUGGAGGGCUUCAGUAUUUGGGAUUCAUUUGUCAAACCAAAAGGAUAUUUUGUCUCUCUUGCCAAGGUCCUAUCUACUAUUUUUCAAACAUAUGCCCCACCCAUACAUGAUAGUUUUCCAGAUAGGAAUGGAGCACUUUAAAUGCUUGUGAGGAAUCUGGAGGCCAUUGUUUCUAGUAAAUUUCCUGGUAAGAGAGAUGUCCAUAGGGAAUUGUUCUGAUUGUACAUAUGCCAAGCUGAUUUGAUAAGUAGAUCAUUGUUCUUAGUUGCACACUGUUGGAGUCCCAGUCCUCGUGUGCUCUUAUCUCUAGUAGUAAUGUCCCAAUUAACUAAGUGGAGUUUUUUUUUGGCCAUUCUGGUACCACAAAGAAAAUUAUGUUGUAUUUGGGUAAUGCGUUUAGUAACAGCUAUAUGUAGCUUAGUAGUUUGCAUGACAUGAUUGUCCAUACUACUAGGUGGACUUAAUAGGGGAGAGAGGCCUGAGUGGCUUUGAUUUUCAAGGAGUUGGAAAUCUUGGAACGAAUAAAUUCAUUGCAAUUAUUUGAGAAAAUGAUUUUUCAUUUGGAGUUAUUAAUACUUUGUUCAGACCAGGAGCAAAAACAUAUCAGGAUCCUUAAAAUGGUGCGACUAUUUUCCUUAGUUGCUUGAGCUAUUAGGACAAGGUCGUCAACAAAAAAGAGAUGGGAUAGGUGAGGGCCAUGUAGAGAGAUUUUUAUGGGGGUACAUUUCGUUUGCAGUACAACUUUAUUAAUUUGGUGGGAAAGGACUUCCAUACAUAGGAUGAAUAGAUAAGGCAAUAGGGGAUCACCUUGGCGUAGCCCCCUCGAGGUAUAGAAAGAAAUUGUACGAGAUCCAUUGUAAAGAAUGGUUUUUUGGUUUGUUAUUAUACACGACAUGAUGAGGUUACUGAUGUUGAUGGGGAAGAUAAAAUAUUGAAGGGUGUAUCUAAUGAAGGACCAUUAGAUUUUGUCGAAGGCUUUCUCUAGAUCGAUUUUGGCUAUCAUAUUUCUAGUUUUCCCUUUCAUUCGCCUGUAGUGGUUGAUUAUCUCAUGUAUGAUGAUGGCAUCGUCAGGGCCUAUCUAUUUUGGACAAAGAUAGUUUGGCGUGGCCCUAUGAAGUUAGUCAUUAAAGGUCGCAAUCUAUAGGAAACUGUUUUAGAAACAAUUUUAUAGCUAAGAUUACAAAGGCUGAUAGGGCGGAAGUUCUUAAGGGAAAUAGCAUUCUUGCAUUUGGGUAUUAAGCAAACAUAGGUUUUUUGGCUAUCUUCAGGAAUGCAUUCAUUAACGAAAGUAUUCUUGUAGAAAGAGAUAACGGAUGGACCUACAAUAUGUCGAUAUUUUUGAUAGAAUGGGAGUGAAAUCCGUCUGGCCUAGGAGCUUUAAAGGGCUUAAAAGAGUGGAUUGUUCUUCUUACAUCUUUCUCGGAGGGUAGUGGAGUUAAUAAAUCCUUCUCGGAGUCGGAGAGGGUUACAGGUCCUAGAAAAUAUUGGUAUUGCUUCGAUUUCGAGUGAUCCGAUUUAAAGAGUGAAAAGUAGUAGGAUUCUAUAUGGUAUAAUGGAUUUCUUUUUGAAUUCCAGCUUAUAGAAAACAGUUUGUCUGUGUUUUGAAGUAAACCAAUCAAAGCAUGCUUCAAAGCACUGUUCCAACUAACCGAUGGAAAAGUUCUAAGCAGAGGGACAAAAUGAGGCUUAUAUGUAUUUGUAUUCUAGAAAACUAUUGAUAUCUUGAAGUGUUCUAAAGACUUCUAAGGUUGCAAAGUAUGUCAUAUCUGUGAGUUCAUGUCUAGAUAUCAAGAGAAGUUUGAAUGCUUUGUUUGUUUGAUACUGCUAUGUGAUGUGAUGUCAUUGUACGUUUAUUUAAACCUCCCUUUCCUUGUUUGUUUCUUUCAUCCUGCUCUUCUUGUUCCCUUUUAUUUUUACCUCAUAAUUUACACUUAAGUUGUUCAUAUAUGCUGUGUAAUUCAUUGAAAUAAUCCUUACAAAAAACUGAAGUCUUCCUUUGUCUUUGCAGCGGCAUGUCUCUGAUUUCUAUAUCUCUGAUUUCCAGUCUGGAUUAAGGGCUUUGGUCAAAACUGGGUAUGGUGCAAGAGUAACCCUUUAUGUCGAAGAGUCUAUUGUUAUGGAUAUUGAUCAAUCAAAUAGGGACAUGUCACCUGAAUUUGUCAGAUGGCUGGCAGAGAGAAAUCUAUCCAGUGAUGACCGAAUAAUGCGAUUGAAAGAAGGGUAUGGUUUAACUCAACUUCAAUGAAUCUUGAAUAUUUCUUAUGCUUGGGUUCUUUGAUUAAAUAACAGACAACAUGCUCAAUCAUAUCUAGAUGCCUGCUUUGAUUAAUGUAUAUAUUAUUACUUUUUUAUCCCUACCAUGCAUGUUGUCCUCAGUUUGGUUUUUCCUCUCCCAAAUCUUUGUUUAGGUAUAUAAAAGAGGGUAGCACUGUGAGUGUAAUGGGAGUUGUCCGACGGAACGAUAACGUUCUGAUGAUUGUUCCUCCUUCCAGAGCCACUUUCAACAGGAUGUCAGUGGUCUAAAUGUAUUCUUCCAGCCAGUCUGGAGGGUAUCAUUUUGAGAUGUGAGGACAGUUCAAAGAUUGAUGUCAUUCCUGUGUAGCACUUUUAUCAUUAUAGAAGGCUCUUCUGCUGUUUUUGUUUUAAAUAUGUUGGAAAACCCUCUUCUGUCAGUGGCAACAAGAAUGGCAUCUUCACUCAGUUAACCAGAUAUGUAUAGUUUGUCGAUUUGAUUUGAUUUGAUUUUUUUAUUUUUAUUUUUUGUUUCUAUUCUUGUUGUAAUGGUGUUGGUGUCAUCAAAUGUGUAGAUACUGAUGAUUUUUGAGAGAGUUGUUAUGGUUAGAAAGUCAGAUAUUUGUGUUUAGGUUGGGGACUUUUACAAAAGUAUGAUACCCCAAUGGAUACAAGAUAUGUUUAUUUGGUAUUAGUUAUUCUUUUGUGGCCACUUAACCACUCUCAAGUCUCUUCUGGCAAAUAAACCUCCUUUAUUUGCUUGUUUGGAAUCUUGAAUUAUGUUGGUCAACAUGUAUUGAGUGAACAAUAAGAAAAGAUAAAAACAAUUUUCUCUAUACAUAUGAUUAAGCUUAGUUACAAUAAAGGUUAUAUCAAAAUAAGGCAUUGGUAAGUUGGGAGCGCCACCCUCGAAUGGGCCCUGCAGUGCGCGAUCCGGAUUUAGUCGGAGCUUCAAUGUGGUCUCCGGACACCGGGUGGAAAACAAAAAAAAGGCUUUGGUAAAUUUUCUAAAAAAGAUGUUGAUGUAAUAUUGUUAAACCGAAAGGUUCUCUUUCUGUUUUGCCCAUUCCUGAACAAACUUGGAUGUAAGCCUCAAUAAACUUUUGGUGACCCUCUGUACUACGAUGGUGGCAAAUGAGCGGAUUGGAUUGAAUCUGGACAGAUUGAAAAUUGAUUGAGUUGCAAUUUAUUCAUAUGAAAAUAUGUAAAAAAGAAAAAAAAAAGAAGGAAAAACAUCAAAUACCUUACUAUUUGAAAUAGUUUAAAUAUACCUCUCAUUAUACUUUUGGUCCAAAUGUACCCCUCUUGUAAUGAAAUUUGAUUGAAACACUUGGAUUCAUCUAGUUACCAGUAGAAGAUAAGCUAAAAUUGUAUAUUCAAUACUUUUAAUAGGGGUGUACAAAAUCGAAUCAAACCACAAAUCAAGUCAAACCGGAUUUUUUUUUUUACUAUACUUGGGUUGGUUUAGUUUUAACUAAAAAAAGUCUACUCGAGGCCAAACCAACCCGACAUUAUAUAUAUAAUUUUUAAAAUUUAUUUUAUACAUAAAAGUAUUUACUUUGAUGUAAUUUCUAAAUAUUACUUAUACGUUUUCAUAAUUUUUAUCGAGAAAAUGGUCAAAUACACCCUCAAUCUAUAACCGAAUUCUCAACUACACACUUAUAUUUUACAGGGGUCCUAUUACCCCCUUGAACUAUUUUAAAGUGGUAUAAAUGCACCUUUAAGUGCUGACAUGGCACAGAGAGUGUGUUCACUCUCUUGAAGACAUGUGAAAGUUGAAAAAACUGAUAAAAAUAUUUAUGACUUUUUUUAAAUAUAGUUUUUUUACUUUUGUCUUUCGCUUAAUUUUCUCUACUCCCCCCCCCCUCCCCCCAUCACCAUUGAAAUCACCAAAUAAGCAUUAAAAUUAUUACUCAUAUAAUGAAUAAAAUUAAAUCAUCUUUAAUCUCUUCACACUAAUAAAAUUCACCAACUUUCAGAUCUUAUCUCAUAUCUCUAUUAUUGUUCGAUGAAGAAUUCAAACUACACCCAAUAACGAUUUUAGGAACUUGAGUAGCAACCACCAGUUGAUUAUGCUCAACCUUAUAAUCCAAAUUAUUUCCUCAAGUUAAAAAGGCAUAAAUCCUUCACUAUUUAAAGAAGGAAUCAAAAGGGCAUAAUCGUACUCAAGUCCAAGACGAUUAGCAAGAAUUUCGAACUUGAAAUUGGUGCCAAUAUUGCAGAAUUUGAGUGGGAGAGGUGAAGGGGUUGGUCUAAAUGACUUGAUAAAAUUGUUGUUGUGAUGGUGAUGUUGUUGAUAAAUAUUGUUGAUUUCUUUUACUCGAAAAAGAGAUGAUAAGUGUUGAUAUGGAUCUUGGAUUGAGAUCUAAUUUGUGGGUUAUGGAAGAUGAGGGUGGGGUGACUAGGGAGAAAUGGGGUGGAGGAAUACAAGGUUUAGGGGAGUUUAUAGUGAAAAAAAAUUAAAAACAUGUCUCAACAAUAUGGAGAAGAGAAGAGUAAAGAUGAUGUUGGCAAUGCAGAAGAAGAACAACAUUUACUUUUUAAAAAAAUAAAUGAUAUUUGACAGUUGUAGCGCGUGUGCACACCACAUUCGAAGAAUGUGGUUCUCUAGUUUUAGGGUGGUAUAUAUUUCGCUUUAAAUUAGUCCAAGGGGGCAAUAGGACUCCCAUAAAAUAUAAGUGUGUAGUUGAGAAUCUGGUUAUAGAUUGAGGGGGAAUUUGACCAUUUUCUAUUUUUUAUCUUUUACCAUAUUUUUUCAAGUUUUUUGAGACUUAGAAUUUUGAAUGGUCCAAUAAAGGUUAUAGUACAUAGAUAUUAGUAACUCUAAUAAAGCUCAAUUCAAAAUCAAAUCAAUAUUAAUGCUAACAAAACAAAUUAAUUCAACACUAAGAAUGACAAUAAUGUUGAAUAUUUGUUACUUAUUAGACUUAUUUUAGCAUGAUUUAGUACUUUUAAAUUAUAAUCAUUUUCAUUAUGACCUAUCAAUUUGCAAUAUUCAUUUUAUACGAUUUCCUUAUUGUUUUUUAUUCAAUAUUUUAGUGUCAUCAAUCAUCUCAUAUUUUGUGUUAUUUUCUUAAGAAACACCUAUAGUUGUAUUUUGAUUGGACUAAAGAAAUAUUUGGAGCACAAGUUAAUUAUAUGUUUGUAUGAUUACUUUACUGGAAAAAUCAAAGGUUUAUAGUUUGGUUUGAUUUUAAAAUUUAAAAAAUAGACACAAAUGGUUUGGUUUGAUAUUUGAAAAAUCCGAAAAAAUCCGAGGUUGAAAAACACGAAAAAAUCCCGAAUUUUAUUAGUUUGAAUUGGUUUAUAAUUUUAAAAAUUUGACACAAAUGAUUUAGUUUGAUAUUUGAAAAAUCAGAACCAACCCGGUCAAGUACACUCCUAAUUAAAAGGAAUGAAAUUUGAUAAAAACCCUUGGAUUCAUCAUCUUCUUCUAUAAACGGUAUGAAAUUCUUCCAGAACAAAUAAACUUUCUAAAGAAAAAAUCAGAUAUUUAAAAUUGGGACUCAGUUAUUUAAUUCUAAGUUUGAUACAUGUUUCUCUGUUAAAAUUAAGGAUAAAUUUGUACCAAAGUAUAGUGGGAGCCUAGGAGGGAUAUAUUUGGGCCGAAAGUAUAUCAAGAGUGGUAUAUAUGGACCAAAAGUAUAAAGAGGGGUAUAUUUAAACUAUUUCAGAUAGUAUAGGGGUAUAUUUGACCUUUUUCCGAAGAAGAAAAAAAGCGAAUUGGAUAUGAUAUGUUGGGAUAAAUGAUUCUAACCCACUUUAAUCCCUUAAACCCAAAAAAUUUAAAACCUUUAAAUGAGUUUACUGAAACCAACUUUAACAAUAAAAAGAAUAUUUUCUAUUUUUCUCAAGUUUAGUUGGCUUAAAUAUUUUGGAAAAUUAUUUUCAAAUGGACUUAUUUUAUUCUAAUUUAAAGAAAAUGACUUCUCUACGUGAAGUAAGAAAAAUAUUUUCAAAAGCUCUCCUUCAAUUCUACCACCCCAUAUACCACCAGUUACUCCAGCUAGACUUUGAUUUGGGAUCCGACCCCAACAUCUACCUUGACGCCAACCCAAAACUCGACAUCAGGAUCCAACCCCGACCAAAGACCUGACUCCGACUUGAGUAUCAACUCCCGACCUGGACCCGAUACCCUACCUCGAUCCAAUAUCUAACCCCAACCUCAAAAUCAAACCUCAACCUGGGACCCCAAAUCAAACUCAGGACCUGACCCCAACUCUCGACCUGAACCCCACUGUGACCUCAACCUAUGAUCCGACCUUAACAUAACACUUCAAAUGUUUGAAUUAUGUUGAACUAAUCAAAUGCAUGUGAUUUGAUCCAAAUUAUGUUUAAUCAAGUUUUGAGUUAAGAAAUCUAUCUCAAAUGAUGAGAAAUCAAAUUUGGGGUUUACCGCAUUAAAUCGUUUGUUAAUUGGUAUAAAAAGUUAUGAGUGUUUUGUGAAAUUACCGUGCAAAAGUUUAAAACUUGCUCAAAAUUUUUAUUUCACUACAUUUUUAGCCUACUUCUUAGAAAGGAAACACCCAAAGUCCUCUCUCAAACACCUAAGGUAAGUUCCUAUUCUAAUAUUUCGAUUUUAACAUUGAUUUUAUCGUUAAUUAACACGCAAAUGAUUAUACUAGUUCGUAGAUCUUGAGAGUUCGAUUCUCGAUCAUUGAAGGAGAUUACUUGGAAUUCUUAUAAGCUAUCAUUAAUGUAGGCAUGCUUAAGACAAUUCUUAGCGAGAUUAAGGUAUGUCUAUUUUUAUAACAUCAGUAAAAUCUCUCUAUAUUAAUAUACCCGGGAUCACAAAAUAUCAUUAUUUUGUAGAGGUAUUAUUUAAUCGAUAAAUCAAUAUUUAUUAAUUUACAGAGUGUUUCGACAACAAAAAAUUGUUAAGGGAUGAAAUCUCAAAGAAUUUGAAAGAACCCACUUGUGAAAACGUCAUUCAUGAAUUACCGCAAUAAAAUUGACGUUAAUAACCUAUUGGAUGAGUGAAAAUGAUACAUAUUCAGAGGUCCAAAACUUUGAACAAAUUGUGGAUAUCAUUGGAAAAACAAUGUUAAUGAUAAGUUGAAGAUGAUACAAUACCUUUGGAACCAGUCACGCGUAAGGAAACACUUGCAUUUAGAACUCUUCACAAUUUUAUGGUGCAAUUAGAAAAGACAAAACACCAAAACUUUUGGAUGCAAUAAGAAAAGUUAGAAAUGAACUUCAACUAGAUUUAAAUUUUAACAAAAAAAAGAAAUAACAGAAUCAUAUUUCACUAAAUUUUCUUAGAUAUAUUUGUACUUUUAAAGAAUUAUUAAUUUAUAAUAUUAAUGAGACCAUAUAUUUAUACAGGGGUCUUUUGAAAAUAUAUUAUCUUAUCGAAAUGAGUGAUUUUUUCCAUUGGCCCAAAUCGGAAUCGGAGGAAAUUAUUAGUUUGGAGAGAUUAUUAAUUAACCGAGUAUUAAUUUAGUAAGGUUUUACUGUAAAUCUUCUUUUGAUGUAUGGUCCAUAAACACUUUUUUAUAACUACAAAGGGAUUUUAAACAAGAUUUUAUGUGUGUGAGGGACAAACUUGCAUCAAGUCUUAGUAUUUUGAUUUUUUUUAUAUAUUAUGAACUAUGUAUAUGUACAUGGUUUGCCCUAUAAAUAGGAUUAUUGAACUUUAUUUCAAAGUGAUGACUUAAGCCCGAUUUUACUCUACGAAUGAACUAUUGAUUUGAAACAUGAUUUAAUGACUUUAAACAUGAUUUUUAAACCUGAGAAAUAAUUGAAUUACUUAUGCUUACGGAUUGAUCAGGAUGAGUUUAACGAGUGAAUUUGUUUUUAUUAAAAAAAAAUCAAGUAUUUAUGAUUGAGGGUGAGUCAUUUGAUUUUUAGUUUAUCAUAUGCUUCUCUAUCAAAAUGAAGAGCAAAUUUGUAUCAAUAUAUAAUGAGAGGGAUAUAUUUAGAUAAAAAAUAUAACAAUGAAAUAUAUUUUGAAUCGAAAAUAUAAUAAGGAGUAUAUUUAAGGGAAAAUUAGCAAAACAACAAUAUUUAAGUCUUUAGUGGGACUCAUUAGCAACAUUUUUAACUAUUUAUUAAAAAUGACAAUAAUUUAGUUUGUUAAAAGGAUGAUUUAUGUAUUUAUUUUAUUUUGAUUAAUCUGAAAGAAUACAAAUACUUAAUAAUAAAAUAGACAAAACAUGGAACAUAAAACAUCAAAAAAGGAAAAAAUGAUUUUAAAACUUUUCAGUUAUGUUUUGCAAAGCGGGGAUGUUGCCAUUCUUUCUGUGGAGCAUUUUUUGCUCUUCCGUUCUUAAUAAUUCCUAACAAAAAAUUUGCAAAAAAAGUUUUGUCUUCCUAAUCAUUCAAUUGAUAAUAUUCCUAGCUUCUUCGAAUCGAAUUCGGCAUAUUCUUAAAUCGGAUGUUUCCGAAUUUCACAACUAUAAUUUCGUUAGAUCCAUUGAAUACAAGAAAUUUCGACAUCAGGUAUUUAUUUUUUGUUGUUUAUUUUGAAUCGGUGAAAUCUUUGUAUGGUUUGAAAUUUCGACGUCAAUUCCAUUGAAAUCCAUAAAAAGCACAUGAACACGCUGAGGAACAAUCAUAUGUUUUGUAUCCAAUAUAUGAUGCAUAUGACAUGAAAGUGCUUGAUUCUUUUUUAGUUUCAUAGUUGUUUGUUCUUUAUUUGAAUGAAUACAUUUUUUUUUUGUAUCCCAUUAUGUUUAAUGUAAAUAUUAACAAUAUGAAAUUAUAUAUUUUUUUAGUUUUGAAGUUGUUGUUAAUGUAUGCAUAGAAAGCACGUGAACACGCUGAGGAACAAUCAUAUGUUUUGUAUCCAAUAUAUGAUGCAUAAGGCUAGAAAGUGCUUGAUUCUUUUUUAGUUUCGUAGUUGUUUGUUCUUUAUUUGAAUGCAUACAAUAUUUUUUUGUAUGCCAUUAUGUUUAAUUAAUUAUCCUUAUGCAUACAAAGCACAUGAACACGCUCAUGAACAAUCAUAUGUUUUGUAUCCAAUAUAUGAUGCAUAAGGCUAGAAAGUGCUUGAUUCUUUUUUAGUUUCGUAGUUGUUUGUUCUUUAUUUGAAUGCAUACAAUAUUUUUUUGUAUGCCAUUAUGUUUAAUUAAUUAUCCUUAUGCAUACAAAGCACAUGAACACGUUGAGGAACAAUCAUAUGUUUUGUAUCCAAUAUAUGAUGCAUAAGGCUUGAAAGUGCUUGAUUUUUUUUGUUUCAUAGUUGUUUCUUCUUUAUUUGAAUGCAUACAAUAUUUGUUUGUAUGCCAUUAUGUUUAAAAAGCUACCUGGAAGGCCAUCCAAGAAGUAUCGUGACAAGGCGUACAUCGAGCUAUAUGGGAAGAAGAGCAAGAAUUCUUGCAGUACUUGUGGGUUUAAGCGGCACAAUAGGCGUUCGUGUAGGAAUGGACCACGUAUUGUUUAGUUAAUAAUGCUUCAAUUUUAUAUCUUAUUAGAGUGGAAUUGUUUCCCAAAUUCUAAUGCCCUCUGUUUUAUAUAUUUACUAUCCUGGNNNNNNNNNNNNNNNNNNNNNNNNNNNNNNNNNNNNNNNNNNNNNNNNNNNUUUAUUUUAUAUUUGUUGUAUUUAACGUGUAUUUACUUUAAAUUGUAUGUGUAAAAUUGUAUUUAUCACAAAAAAAAUAUAAAUACAAAUUAGUAGUAAAAAUAAAAUAAUACUGAAAAUACAUUUUUGGUGAAAAACAUAACAAAUACAAUAAUUUGUAUUCAAACUAAAUUAUUGUAUUUGUAUUUCAAUAUCAAGUGUUGUUUAUUAUUAUUAUUUGACUUAAAAAUUGUACUUACUAUUUCUCUGAAUAAGUUUAUUUUACAAAAAUUCAUGAUGUAUUUCAAUAUCAGUUAGUAUCCAAAACAUCAUAUAUUGGAUAUUUUGUAUCCAAUAUAUGAUGCAUAACACUUGAAAGUUCUUGAUUUUUUUUAGUUUCAUAUAUGUUUUCUUUUUAUUUGAAUUGCAUACAAUCUUUUUGUAUCCCAUUAUACGUGUACAUAUUAACAACAUGAAAUUGUAUAUUUUUUUUUAGUUUGGAAGUUAUUGUUUUUUAAAAAAAAAAAUACAUAAACUAUUUUGUAUCCCAGAAAGUUAAUGUGAUUAGUAACAACAUAGGGAUAGAAUCGUAAAAAUUUUGUGAUGAAUUUUGGAUACAAUUAAAUAUUGAAUUUUUCAUUUUUUGAUGUUUUGUGUUCCAUACUAUUUUGUAACCAAAGUAUGCAGGAUAUAUACCUGCAAAAUGAUUAAGACCUGUACAAUAUACACAUGAAUAUAAAACCUAAACUUCAAAAUAUUAAAAUUAUAUUAACUAAGAAGAUUGAACCAAAACUUCAAAAGUUUUUACAUUAAUAAAACCAGGACUGGAAAACUUUAGAAGGGUUCCAUAGCAAUAUAAAAACUAAUGUAUAUUAACACACCAAAAAAUAGACAAUGACUAGUCUAUUUGAAUUGUAUCAUUAUCCUCUAAUGCUACAUUAAGCCUGCUAUGUCGCAGAGGUGCUUCAUUGUCCCUUAUUGCUCCGGCAUCAUUCUUUUGUUGGCCAUAAUUUCAAAGAAGUGUAGCGUAUCUGAUCUUGACCGUAAAAAUGAUGCAUCCAAAUUACCCGCUGGAAUCCCUUGUUCGUAUGAUAGGUAUUCGGCAAAAGCUAGCAUAUAAAUACCUCAAUCCCUACAAUACAACACAUUAAAAGUAAACAAUAUAAAAUUGAUGAUUUGAUAAUGGUAAAUUCAAAAAAUACACAAACUUACAAAGUUCCAUGUGUCUGUUGAGGAACAUUAUCAAUGAAGACUAUAUCAAAGAACUCAUUCUCUUCUUGAACUUGCGAUACAUCAAUUCCUUUAUUCAUGUAAUAGUCAUUCACUGUUAAUUUUAAAGGGAUCAACUUAGACAGCUUAACUAUCUCUGUCUUGAUAGCUGCAUCAUGGCCUGCUGCUCUAUAUGAGUCAUAAACGUUGAUACGUUUAUCAUUAAGUGAAAUCACAACCAAUACCCAAUGGAAUUCAUCCUUAACAUGGACAGGAACAAAAACAUGAUCAACCAUAUGCCAAGGGAUAGCAGCAUGCAUUUUGUACUCUCUAAUGUAUUCACCAAUGACAUGCUCUUCAUCAGCACAACCAACAUCACUGUCUAAAUCCAAAUAUUUUUUCCAAAUAGAAGAAAUCUUUGAACUAAAUAUACAAUCUACAGUUGUGUAUUUGUAGUUGCUUCCAACUUCAUACUUAGCUUUCUUAGGGAGAUAAUAGAAAAUCACAUCGAUAUGCUGACAAAUUUAAAAACAAAGGUAUAAAUAAUGUAACUACUAAUCAACAUUGUUAGUAAAGAUGAAGAUAAAUAAUUAUUACCGAAUUGUUCAAUAACUGUCGUUCGAAAUACAGAUUAUAGAACCAGUUCUUAUUGUUUAUUAGGAGAACGCCAAGAUUUAUGGCCACAGGGAAGUCAGCUAGAUGCUUCUUGUAAUGGUCUUGAUCAUGCUUCCUAAAAACAGAAUAAAAAUUGAAAAAAAUAUACAAUUCAUUAAAUAUAAUUACUAAUUUCAACAAUGAAAUACAAAAUUUAUCAAGAUAACCCAGAUAUAGUUAUGUUGUAAACAUUUUACCUAAACAAACAUUUUACCGAAUACAAAAAUUAAAAUCUGAACAAACAUUUUACAGAAUACAAAAAUUGAAAUAGUUAUGUUGUAAAAAUAUAUUGUAAUUAUUUCUCAACUACUUACUUUUUAUCGUGCUUUGUAAGCAAGCCAUCUCGGACCCAUGAACAAAACGCAUCCCACAAAGGUAUAUCAUAAUUGUCAUAGAUCAAAUCAAAUAUGAAUGGGUGUUUCAGUUCAAAAAUAGGGGGCUGACUUGAUGAACUACCUGAAAUGGUUACAAAAUAAUAAAUUAAAACACAUUAACACUAGCAAUCAAAAAAAUAAUUACAUUAAAAAAAGUUAAAAAUUUUGGAAUACUAUACCAGCAGAUGAUCCAAAAUUGGUCAGAUACGGAGAUAUAUUAUAAGGACCUGGACGUCUAUUUCUAUGCGUAGGUAACGGUGUCUGUUCAUUAUUGAUGAUGGGCUGAUCAUGCAUAAUUCUUUCUUCGCUCGUACCAAACUGGACAUCGAUAGUGGUCUGAUCUACCGUAGUUGUAAUGUGAUCUGCAAUUAUUGUAGACAAUCAGAUGCUUUUCCCAAAAUCUAAAACCCUAAAAGCAAAUUUGAUAUUAUCAAAUAUUAAAAUAUAUAAAAUAUCAAACAAAAUAAACAUAUAUAUGAGUUUCUAGAAUCUACAAAAUCUGAAAAAUUAAAAUAAAAAUCAACAAAAAAAAAUUGAAAAAUACAUAAAUAUAAUGAUGAAUAUUCAAACAAAAUCACAUCAAAAAUUGGAAAAAUUCGAACUGGAAAAUCCAUAAGGUAUAGAAUCGGUGCUUUAAACAUCAAAUCAAAAAAAUCAAAAUGGAUUAUGGAAAUUACUUUGCCAACCGAAAAAUCUGCUUGAAUUAAUAAAGAGAUUUCGUUUAACAAUAAAUAAAAUUUCUUGAUGAACAACAAUUUAGCAGAAAGCUAAACUUACAACGUGAAAUGUGGGGAAGAAACGUGAAAUUUGGGGAAGAAACGUGAAUUUUGUUGAAAAAAGUUUAAUGGUAUUAGUUUUUUUUUAAAAAAAACUUUAAGCGCUUAUUGGUGUAUAUUUUGGUCCAAUGUAGGAUUCUUUCCAUAAAUAAAAUUAAUUUAAAAUACUAAAAUCUGAAUACAUAUUAUUUUAUCAAAAUAUUGUCAUUCUGCCAUUUUAAAUAAAUAUUUUAAAGUGUUGUUAUUUUGACUAAUUCUGUUAGUUAUUAUGACUUAAUUGCUAAUUUUUCCUAUAUUUAAACCAUUUCUAAUAAUGCACAUGUAUAUUAGGCCCUUUUCUAUUAUUUAUAUGCUUUGCUUUUCAUGCUUAACCUUUUAAAAUUCCAUUGCAAUCAUAAUGUUAUUUAGUAUUUAUUUCAUCUUAUUCUAGUCUUACAAUUAAAUUUUGAAUUAUUUAUAUGUAUGAACUUAAAAUAAAUAAAUAAAAUCAACCAAACAGACAUUAUUGAUUACAUAGAACUAAAAUUCGUAGUAUUAAAAUGUUAUUUAAUUUUAGGGAAAAAAGUCUGAAAUAUAUCUGAAUUUUGACCGAAAUUGUUGUUACGAUACCGAACUUUGGAAAGGACAUUUUACCCCCUCCACUAUUUAUAAUUAUGCAACAUUUAUGAUGUCCACGUGGCCACAUAUAUACCUUUAAAAUACACUAUUAAAUAAUGCAGGGGGUAAAAGGUCCUCCAUAAAGUUUGGUAUUGUAACGACAAUUUCGACAAAAAUUGGAGUAUUUUUCAAACCUUUUUCCCUUAAUUUUAUAGACGUAAACUUGUUACUUCCUCUAUUUUAAUUUAUAUGACUUUUUUUAGUUAGUCCAAAAAGAGUGGGACAUUUUCAUAUUUAAUAACGAAUUUACUUUUAAAAUAUACUUUUAAUCCUUAAUGAAAUUAUUUACAACCCCCCCCCCCCCACAUAUAUAUAGCACUUCCUAUUUUACACUAUAAUUAAGAAAUCAUUAAUAGAUUGUUCAACUUUACUAUUUUGAUCUCUGUUCAUACUCCCUUUGUCCCUAAUAACUUGUCCAUUUUUCUUUUUUUAGUUGUCCCUAAUUACUUGUUCAUUUUGACAAAUCAAGAAAGGACAAUUAUUUUUUACCUAUAAUACCAUUAAUUAAUUACUUCGAAAAAAGUUUUGAAAAUCUUAAAUUUUUAAUUCAUCCACUUCAUAAAUAAUAGGGUAAAAUGGUAAACUCGCUAUCUCAAUUAUUGUUUUCUUAAUAUGGUAGAAUCUUAGCAUUAGAAAAUAGUCAAAAGUGUAGGUUGUAAUUUCAAUGAGAGGUGAAGGUGGGAGUCACAGCCAGACAAGUAUUUGGUGUGAAAAGGCUGCUCAAUUAUACAUCUAUUACUAUAAUAAAUAGGGAAUUAACACCUACACAUUAUUCCUUUAUGGUAUUAUUUAUAACAAAAGUGUAGGCUAAAAAGUUGGAAGAGUAUCGAGCCAUAAAAGUGUCAAACUCAUGUGAGAGUGAGACACAGCAUUUUGUUUUUAUUACCAUUUUUGCAUCUCUUGACCACCUAAUGGUAUGAAAUGAAAUUAAAUGUAGUCUCAUUUGGCUCAAUUAAUUUAAAGAGGAUUUUAAAUGGUAUAGUCAUCCACCAAAUAUCAAUUUAUUUUCGAAAUGAAAUUUAUACCCAAACAAAACAAUAAAAAACUUCAAAUACAUUAUUUUAAACUUUAAAAAAUAAAAAAACACUCUGUUCUUUUUCUUUCUUCAAAUACCAAACUAAUUACAUAUAGCCCAAACACCAAAUCAUCCUCUUAUUUAGCUUAAUAAUUCUCUCUUCGUCACAACGAGAAAGAUACAACAACAACAUACCUAAUGAGGUCUGAUAUAUGAGUCUGGAGGAGGAUAGACUUUAUCACUGUCUCACACAAGAUAAUAAUCCAAUUAAACGACACAGUUGAAUUUGGCCAACAUAUCUUUAACAAGAACUUCAGUAAUACGACGAUGAGCUUCAUCUGUCAAAUGAAUUCCAUCCCAAUGAACAUACUGUGCUGGAUUCGAACAAGCAUUAAUCCCAGCUGCUCCACACACAGUCCCGAAGUUAAAAUUAUGUCUCCCUCCAGUUCCACAACACGCACUCAGCAAUGUAUUUUGAUUAAACCCAAACGAAGACGGGUUACGAAUAAGUGACAAAGUUGCACCGUAAAAAUCACCAUAAACAAUUCUAACAUUUGGGAAUUCACGUUGUAGAUUCGCUAGAGCCCUAACCACGUAUCGAUUAUGAUACGAAGCGAAAUCAUUGAAGUUCCUCAAGCAUCCUAAUUGAUCGUAACCACUCGUAUUGUUCUCAGGGAACGAUGUGAGGUACAAUGGGAGGCAUCCGAGAGGGUAAAUGCUCGGAACCAACACUCGUGUUGCUCCGAGCUGAAUCACCUCUUUGAUGCCUUUCAUAAUCCCUGCAACAACAAAUGGAACGUAAGUUCUAACUUCUGUGAUUUGU
rnacentral:lncRNA from 1 species